rnacentral:tRNA from 1 species
CAAAGGGUAGUUUAAUUAAAAUUUUAGUUUUGGGAAUUAAAGAUAUGUAUUUACUUCCCUUUGA